GGAAAGGAUUUGCCGUCAACAACUUGGGAAAAUUUUGAAGAGAGGGUGCCAAAUUUUGAAAAAGAAAACCCAUUCAGCACAACCUCUCACCACAUCCCUUAAUCAUCUCCUUUAAAUUCUCGAACCACCCAUUAUCCAAACCCCUUAACAGCCGAAAUCUCCUCUACUAACCUCCUAAAAAUUGGCCACACAUCCCCACACUCCUCAAACACUCAAAUUUCGAUUAAACUACAAC
rnacentral:lncRNA from 1 species